UAUUUAAAUAUUUUUAAUUAAUUGAUUUUUUUUUUAAUAAUAUUUUUUAUAAAAGUAAUUUAUUUGUAUAGAGUUUUAGUAUUUAGUAAAAAUUAAUUUUUAGUUUUAUAGUUUAAUAGUAUUGUGAAAGAAAUUAUUUAUAUUAAUGAAAGAAUUAUAAUUAGUACCUUUUGUAUCAGGGUUAAUUAAAAUUUUUAAUUUAUUUUAAUUUCUCAAAAUUCAUAGAGUUAAUUUUAUUAUUAAGUUAUUGUAUUAAAAAUAUUUAUAAAAUAAUUUUAGUUUUGAUAUUUAAUUCGUUACGUUAUAUUUAGUUAUUUAAGAUUUAAAUUUAAUUUAAGAUUUUAAGAGUUAAGUUGAUUUUUUUUUAUUUAUAUUUUAAAUUUAUAUUAUUUUAGGGAUAAGCUUGAAAUUUUUAUAUAACAAUUGUUUAAUUUAAUAAUUUAUAGGAAUAGAAAUUUUUAUUUAAAGUUUGUAAAAAUUUAUUAUUAAUUUUUAUAUAAUUUAUUAUAAUUUGUUUAUUUAUAAUAUUAAAUUUUAUAAUUUAAUUUUUUAUUUAUAGUAAUAAUGAUUAAAUUAGUAUAAUAUUAAUUUAUAUAUUAUGAAUUCAGCAAAAAUUAUUUUUAUCUGUUUAACAAAAACAUUGUAUUAAGUUUUAUUUAAUAUAGGAUCUGCUCAAUGAUUUAUUAAAUAGCUGCAGUAUUUUGACUGUGCAAAGGUAGCAUAAUAAUUAGUCUUUUAAUUGAGGACUUGUAUGAAAGAUUUGAUAAAAAAUAAGCUUUAUUAUUUAUAUAAUUAGAAUUUUAUUUUUAAGUAAAAAAGCUUAAAUAUUUUAAAGGGACGAUAAGACCCUAUAAAACUUUAUAUUUAAUAUUUUUUAUAUUUUUUUUGGGUUUAAGAUAUAAAUUUAAAUAUUAUUAAUUAUUUAAUUGGGGUGAUAAAAAAAAUUUUUAAACUUUUUUUAAAAUUUAACAUUAUUUAGUGAUAAUUUGAAUUAAAAUUUUUAAUUAAAGGAAAAAGUUACUUUAGGGAUAACAGCGUAAUUAGUUUUUUAAGUUCAAAUUUAAAAAUUAGU
rnacentral:rRNA from 1 species